rnacentral:rRNA from 1 species
UACGGAGGGUGCAAGCGUUAUCCGGAUUCACUGGGUUUAAAGGGAGCGUAGGAGGGUGUGUAAGUCAGUGGUGAAAUCUCCAGGCUUAACUUGGAAACUGCCAUUGAUACUAUCAAUCUUGAAUACCGUGGAGGUCAGCGGAAUAUGUCAUGUAGCGGUGAAAUGCUUAGAUAUGACAUAGAACACCAAUUGCGAAGGCAGCUCACUACUCAAUCAUUGACUCUGAGGCACGAAAGCGUGGGGAUCAAACAGG